rnacentral:rRNA from 1 species
CUUCUCUUGAGAGCGGCGGACGGGUGAGUAAUGCCUAGGAAUCUGCCUGGUAGUGGGGGAUAACGCUCGGAAACGGACGCUAAUACCGCAUACGUCCUACGGGAGAAAGCAGGGGACCUUCGGGCCUUGCGCUAUCAGAUGAGCCUAGGUCGGAUUAGCUAGUUGGUGAGGUAAUGGCUCACCAAGGCGACGAUCCGUAACUGGUCUGAGAGGAUGAUCAGUCACACUGGAACUGAGACACGGUCCAGACUCCUACGGGAGGCAGCAGUGGGGAAUAUUGGACAAUGGGCGAAAGCCUGAUCCAGCCAUGCCGCGUGUGUGAAGAAGGUCUUCGGAUUGUAAAGCACUUUAAGUUGGGAGGAAGGGCAGUAAAUUAAUACUUUGCUGUUUUGACGUUACCGACAGAAUAAGCACCGGCUAACUCUGUGCCAGCAGCCGCGGUAAUACAGAGGGUGCAAGCGUUAAUCGGAAUUACUGGGCGUAAAGCGCGCGUAGGUGGUUUGUUAAGUUGGA